UACGUAGGGGGCAAGCGUUGUCCGGAAUCAUUGGGCGUAAAGCGCGUGUAGGCGGCCCGGUAAGUCCGCUGUGAAAGUCGGGGGCUCAACCCUCGGAUGCCGGUGGAUACUGUCGGGCUAGAGUGCGGAAGAGGCGAGUGGAAUUCCUGGUGUAGCGGUGAAAUGCGCAGAUAUCAGGAGGAACACCAAUUGCGAAGGCAGCUCGCUGGGACGGUACUGACGCUGAGGCGACGAAAGCGUGGGGAGCAAACAGG
rnacentral:rRNA from 1 species